rnacentral:lncRNA from 1 species
UUUUGUUUUGUUUAUUAUAUUUGCUAUUGUUAUAUUUUUGAAUUGCCAUGAAUGCUAUUCUACUACACCAUAGUGUAUAUAUAUAUUUUCUAAUAGGCCAUGUAAGUAGUAGCAUACAGUAAAUAUUAUUGUUUAUUAUAUUUGCUAUUGUUAUAUUUUUGAAUUGCCAUGAAUGCUAUUCUACUACACCAUAGUGUAUAUAUAUAUUUUCUAAUAGGCCAUGUAAGUAGUAGCA